rnacentral:rRNA from 1 species
GACGAACGCUGGCGGCGUGCCUAAUACAUGCAAGUAGAACGCACAGUUUAUACUGUAGCUUGCUACACCAUAGACUGUGAGUUGCGAACGGGUGAGUAACGCGUAGGUAACCUGCCUGGUAGCGGGGGAUAACUAUUGGAAACGAUAGCUAAUACCGCAUAAUAUUAAUUAUUGCAUGAUAAUUAAUUGAAAGGUGCAAUUGCACCACUACCAGAUGGACCUGCGUUGUAUUAGCUAGUAGGUGAGGUAACGGCUCACCUAGGCGACGAUACAUAGCCGACCUGAGAGGGUGAUCGGCCACACUGGGACUGAGACACGGCCCAGACUCCUACGGGAGGCAGCAGUAGGGAAUCUUCGGCAAUGGACGAAAGUCUGACCGAGCAACGCCGCGUGAGUGAAGAAGGUUUUCGGAUCGUAAAGCUCUGUUGUAAGAGAAGAACGGGUGUGAGAGUGGAAAGUUCACACUGUGACGGUAUCUGACCAGAAAGGGACGGCUAACUACGUG